rnacentral:rRNA from 1 species
GACGAACGCUGGCGGCGUGCUUAACACAUGCAAGUCGAACGGAAAGGCCCUGCUUUUGUGGGGUGCUCGAGUGGCGAACGGGUGAGUAACACGUGAGUAACCUGCCCUUGACUUUGGGAUAACUUCAGGAAACUGGGGCUAAUACCGGAUAGGAGCUCCUGCUGCAUGGUGGGGGUUGGAAAGUUUCGGCGGUUGGGGAUGGACUCGCGGCUUAUCAGCUUGUUGGUGGGGUAGUGGCUUACCAAGGCUUUGACGGGUAGCCGGCCUGAGAGGGUGACCGGCAAAAUGGGACUUGAGUUCGGGCCCAGACUCUUCGGGGGGGAAGAGGGGGGGAUAAUUGAAAAAGGGCGGAAGCCUGGAGCAAGAACGCCGGGGGGGGGAAGACGGCCUUCGGGUUGGUAACCGCUUUCGCCUGGUGCGGAGCGGGAAGUGCGGGAAAGGGUAAAAGAAGAACGGCUAACUACGUG